rnacentral:rRNA from 3 species
UACGAAGGGAGCUAGCGUUGUUCGGAAUCACUGGGCGUAAAGCGCACGUAGGCGGAUUUGUCAGUCAGGGGUGAAAUCCCGGGGCUCAACCUCGGAACUGCCUUUGAUACAGCAAGUCUUGAGUUCGAGAGAGGUGGGUGGAAUUCCUAGUGUAGAGGUGAAAUUCGUAGAUAUUAGGAAGAACACCGGUGGCGAAGGCGGCCCACUGGCUCGAUACUGACGCUGAGGUGCGAAAGCGUGGGGAGCAAACAGG